rnacentral:rRNA from 1 species
UGCAAGUCGAGGGGUAUGCUUCUUCGGGAGCAGAGACCGGCGCACGGGUGCGUAACGCGUAUGCAAUCUACCUUUCACAGAGGGAUAGCCCAGAGAAAUUUGGAUUAAUACCUCAUAGUAUAGCAGUUUCGCAUGAAACCACUAUUAAAGUCACAACGGUGAAAGAUGAGCAUGCGUCCCAUUAGCUAGUUGGUAAGGUAACGGCUUACCAAGGCAACGAUGGGUAGGGGUCCUGAGAGGGAGAUCCCCCACACUGGUACUGAGACACGGACCAGACUCCUACGGGAGGCAGCAGUGAGGAAUAUUGGACAAUGGGCGCAAGCCUGAUCCAGCCAUGCCGCGUGCAGGAUGACGGUCCUAUGGAUUGUAAACUGCUUUUAUACGAGAAGAAACCCUCCGACGUGUCGGAGCUUGACGGUAUCGUAAGAAUAAGGAUCGGCUAACUCCGUGCCAGCAGCCGCGGUAAUACGGAGGAUCCAAGCGUUAUCCGGAAUCAUUGGGUUUAAAGGGUCCGUAGGCGGUCAGGUAAGUCAGUGGUGAAAGCCCAUCGCUCAACGGUGGAACGGCCAUUGAUACUGUCUGACUUGAAUUAUUAGGAAGUAACUAGAAUAUGUAGUGUAGCGGUGAAAUGCUUAGAGAUUACAUGGAAUACCAAUUGCGAAGGCAGGUUACUACUAAUGGAUUGACGCUGAUGGACGAAAGCGUGGGUAGCG